UCGAAUUGGUUUUCGUCCAAAUCAGUUUUUAUAGCCCACUCUGGCUGUUAGUGCCCGAAUAGCCCAAGUAACAUUCCUGAAUAUUACAAGGCAUCGCUACCACUUUUUACCCCCACUCGAUGGAGCUCGCCGUUACUUAGCUCUUAAGAUACAUCCUGCUGAAAAAAAGUUCGGAUCCUUUACCACCCAGGUGGUAAAAAGUGGUGAACGACUGCGUUCAGAACAAACCUCUCAACCCAAUCGCUUCGCAAAGACAACGGAAAAUUAAGUUCACAGGCCGAAAAUAGACACAAUUUGGAUUUAGAAUUGCGUCUCGGAAUAGGAAACAUAUAUUCAGGAUCAAGUUCGCAGGGUGAAGUCAGAGCCGGAAAUGAACACCGACAUGAGAUGGCGGGAAGAGUCCCGCAUGCAAGCCACAGGAACGGUAACGCCAGA